rnacentral:lncRNA from 1 species
AUGUUAAAUGGUAUCUAUUGUAACCGUAUCUUUCAGUGUUGCAAAAAAAAAAAAAACCCUAAAACGCAGACGACGUUUUUACUCCAAAUGGGCGUGGUGUUGAAUGCAGUUUCUUUCUUCUGUGUCCUAGGAAACCCUGUGUUUACAGCGACGUCCAUUGAAACAAAUGCUACAGCAUAUAGUUCCAAUCGUCCCCUCGAGUUCUACACAGCAUCCAGUAUCAGAAUGCAUGGAAAUAAAGCAAGAAGAUUCACAAAGAUGCAAUAUCAAGAUCCACAAGACAAUGAAAUGGUUGAGAGGACAUAUAUCUCCUCUGAAAAACACACCAUCAACAGCAUAUUAAGGAACCUUGUCAGUAAUGUUGAGUUCAUUGCGAUUCUGCCUGGGGUCCUAAAGGUAAACUGGGACACUGAUGUCAUGGACAGUGAGGUGAUCAGAGCACUUCAGGAACAUCUAAUGUUAGAACAAAGGCUGGAGAUGCUAGAAGAUCGCAACUUGGUGUCAGAUGGGAAGAAUGAGAAUACUCAUCUUGAGAAAAAUCUGAAGAUCUCUUUGAAAAAUUUGCUCAGGCUCGUGAAAGCCCAUCCGCUUCUCCUUUCUGCUUGGAAGAAAGACUUGCCAAAGGAAAUAGGGAAAUGUGAAAGGUGCCUAAUCAAAGAGAUUCAUGUAUUGGAAGGUCUGGAACCCAGGCCACAGCAAGCUGCUCCUAAACUGCUACCUGUUUCCUAUGAGCUGAACGAUACUCCUUUACUACAAGACUUUCCUGCAACAAUAGAAGAAGUAACUACAAAGAUUUUUCAGAAGAGUCAAGACAUUGAAACUUUGCAGAGUUCUCUGCAAAAGCAAAGAGGAGAGGAGAGUGCAUUGGAGGAGCAGCUACAGACCACUAUUGAGGAAUUGGAGACAGUGCAGAAAAAAUUACUUCAGGAAGUUGAUCAAAUGAGCACUGAGCUAAAUGAUCUAACACUGAGAAACUUUGAAGAAGAAGCUGCACUUCGACGAGUGUGUUUGUUACACCUGUUAUUUAAAAUGUUAUAUCACAUUUCAAUUUCAUUAAAAUUAGACUUUCUCUCUUCCAUUGUCAGGAAAUCGUCAUGGUUGAUGCAGCUACUGCUCAUUUGAUUGAAGAUUUUGAUGAAGCAAUAGAGGCCCUGCAGGUACACAAAUAUACUCAAUUUAAAUUAUUUGUUUAAAUAGCUAAUCAGCCAAUCGCAUGGCCACAACUCCAUGCAUUCAGUACAUUUAUGCAUGCAGACAUAGUCAAGAGACAUUCAUAACAAGCAGGAGAAGAGGGAAGAAAGGGAGUGGCCAGUCUGAUCUACUGGGAAUUUUACUCACAACCAUGACUGGGGGUUUACAGAGAAUGAACUGCCUGAACUAUAAAGAAGGCAAGUCCCUGUCAAAAUUAAGUUAUUAAAUAUAACCUACAGUCUCCCUCUUUUCUCGACCACAGGCUAGCUUGGAGCUGAACACAAUGAAGUAUGAGCAAGAAGUGGAAGAAGUGAAAAAGUUGGAGAUGCUUUAUUCUGAACUAGAUGUGGAUUACAGAUACAUUUUGGAGAAACACCGGCAGGUAGAGGAGAAGAAGGUGAAGGAAGAAAAGGAGCUGGUGUUAAAGACAGAAGCUGCUCUUCUUAUCCAAGCAUGGUGGAGGAGUUUCUAUGUCCGCAAGGCCAUUAAGGGGAGAGAGAAAAAAGCAAAGGCAAAAAGGGCAAAAAAGUGAAAGCCUUGAAUGAAAGACAGAAAAUAGGCAAAGGCCAAAAGGACACAAAAGGCAAAGCAAAAGCCAUUGGCAAGAAGACAUGUAAAGCACUUUGCUGCUAAAGAAAUUAUUUCAAAGGUUCCAAUAGGCUUUAACACCAAGACCAAUAUUUUUUAAUUGUGAUGACUAGAUCUGUCUUCCUUUUAUUCACCAUAUGAUAAGUUUAAAUAUCAUGUGGACCUAAGCAAAUCUACAUUGUAAUAAUGAAAGAAAUACUUCAAUUUUUAGCAAUUAAUACAUUAUACAGAAGUGAAUGCAACAUGAUCAUAUGGAAUAAACUUAACUCUUCUGUCAAUGACAAAAUAUAUUGACAUUCUCAAUUUUUAAAAGAAGGGACAAAAUGAAGGGAUGCUUGGACAGACAGUUUAUUCUGAUGGAUCUCAGCACAUACUGAGAUAAAUGUUGCUCAUUCCCUCGUCUCCAUGGAGAUCCAUCAGAUCUGGCAAUGUGUGGACAAAUGUGUCACUGUGAUUAUCCUGAUACGAGAGGAUGCUCUAAUCCAGCAUUGCUCAGAUAAUGCCCCCCCCCCCCUUUCUUUACAGGUAAAAAUCUGUUACACUGUUGACCUAGCUGACUUAGUCAGAGAUGUGACUGAGGCUUCUUGAAGGCUGUGCUUACCAUAGCCAACUGACUGACCCUCGACGUUUGGAGAGGGCACUAGUGCAGUAGCUCACAGCUGAGAAAACGUCCUAGUUCCCAAUGUAGUUAACCGGGUCCCUCUCUUAUUCUCGUGACUUGCAACACACCGAGCACGUUUGGGCACAGCCCCAACACAUUCCCGCCUCUGACUUGAUUAAAGUACAAGAGGAAGCGUGACAGAGGAUACUACAACCUGGACAAUUGAGUUGGUCAAUGUCUUGGCAGCUCUUGUAACAGAAUCUGCAAUCGUGCUGUAUUCUCUGUUAACCCUCCACAUUCUUUAUCCCAUAAUAAUGUCCCUGAAACAACAGAAUAAACAGUGGGUCGCCGCAACGGGGGUAAGCCGACACAGAUGGGCGUAGAGCCCUGUCAUCAGACCCCCUGUAACGCACCAUGAUUUUACGCUGAAGGACACGUUCAAAUUUCUCAAUGUCCAAAAGGUCAUGAUCUGCCCCUCCUCCAGACCGGCGAGAUGCUCUCUCCCCCUUUCCAAAGCCUCUUCGCGCAUGAGGUCAGGUUGUAACAGGGGGUCCAAGUUCAUGAAGAAGCAGAGGAGAGUCUGAAUCAACUCACACCUAGAGUGUGAGUUGAUUCGGACUCUCCUCUCCGAUGUUUCUCGGGUGGAAAAAGACACUUCUAGAGACAAUUUUAAUAUGUGAGUUGAAGGACAGAUCUGAUCACAUGUUAUGUUGGGGCACAUGUGAGAAAAAAAACAGCACAACCCAUCAGCACAUCCCGAGUGAUUGCAAGUUAGCCCAGAUUUUCUCCAAGUCUCUGUUAAUUCCAGUUGAUGCAGCUAUAUGAACAUGUGCCAAAACAUUUGUCAAAGGUCACCUGGGAAAAUAUCACUUUAAUCUUUUAGGAUCUUUACGAGUGAAAAAGAUCAAAGACACAAAACAAAAGCAUAUUAAGGCUUCAAUCUGCUUUCAAGAUGGUUUUGUUACUGGCUUUAACAAUAAUUUAAACACUGC